CCUACGGGAGGCAGCAGUGGGGAAUAUUGGACAAUGGGGGGAACCCUGAUCCAGUCAUGCCGCGUGUGUGAAGAAGGCCCUCGGGUUGUAAAGCACUUUCAGUGAGGAAGAACGCCUGGUGGUUAAUACCCAUCAGGAAAGACAUCACUCACAGAAGAAGCACCGGCUAACUCCGUGCCAGCAGCCGCGGUAAUACGGAGGGUGCGAGCGUUAAUCGGAAUUACUGGGCGUAAAGCGCGCGUAGGUGGCUUGAUAAGCCGGUUGUGAAAGCCCCGGGCUCAACCUGGGAACGGCAUCCGGAACUGUCAAGCUAGAGUGCAGGAGAGGAAGGUAGAAUUCCCGGUGUAGCGGUGAAAUGCGUAGAGAUCGGGAGGAAUACCAGUGGCGAAGGCGGCCUUCUGGACUGACACUGACACUGAGGUGCGAAAGCGUGGGUAGCAAACAGGAUUAGAUACCCUUGUAGUC
rnacentral:rRNA from 1 species